GCAAAUCAAGAAAAGUCUAACCUAAUUCACACGAAUUGGUCUCCAUUUCACACGUACCUUUGAUCUCAUCUCAUUUCCUAUAAAUAGAUGAAGUUUUUGCCUUCAUUUGAAAGCUUUGAUAGCCAAAGAAACUCUGAAACCAUUUGAACCUGAUACCUCAAAAAACCAGUUAACCAUAUCUUUGAUUCAAGCUCUUUUAACUUCAAAUCUUCAUCCAUAAUCAUUCAUCGGCACCUUCUGAAGUUGACUGAGUCACUACUUUGGUUUGAAACUCCUUGCAACCAUACUUCUAAAUCCACUAUUUUUGAACUUCGAAGCUCCAAUUGGAAAGGUAUAUAAGAGUUAAAUCUUUGAGCAAACAAGAUACCACACUUUUCACCUCACUCCACUAAUCAAAAGCCCUUUUUCUACCUUUAAUUUAUCUUCAAUAUUAGUCAUUUAAUUUUACUUUGAACAAUUAGGAUUCAUCAUGUUGUUGAGCAAAAUUCUCCAUGCUCAUUACCAAUCAAUGGCUAUGAUGCAGGGAGACAUGAACGAUGAAGUGUUGUGAAGGUAACUUCAUGCUUGGGUGUUGUUAAAAACACUAGUUCAUGGAUUGCAUAAAUUGAACCAAGGUUGAAGAUGAAGUUUGGUUCGCGCGCCAUGGAGCCAAACAUUUGAAUCCAGUCAAUCACAACCUUCCAAAUGUUUUACACAAAGUCUCUAAAAUAUUCUACAUCAC
rnacentral:lncRNA from 1 species